ensembl:lncRNA
GUUACAAUUGAUCAAAUAUAGUCUAUAGCACCAGACCAUAAUUGAUGCUAGAAGAGGAGAAAGAGAAAAUUAAACUUAUGACAGCCUCUGAUGUUUAGUGGGAUCAUGUUACAAAGGAUUAAUUCUUUUGUUUUAUUCUUUUUUAAAAAAUUAUUAUAGCUUUUUAUUUACAAGUUAUAUGCAUGGGUAAUUUUACAGCAUUGACAAUUGCCGAACCUUUUGUUCCAAUUUUUCCCUUUCUUCUCCCCAUCCCCUCCCCCAGAUGGCAGGUUGACCAAUACAUGUUACAUAUGUUAAAGUAUAAAUUAAAUACAAUAUAAGUAUACAUGUCCAAACAGUUAUUUUGUUGAACAAAAAGAAUUGGACUUUGAAAUAGUGUACUAUUAGCCUGUGAAGGAAAUCAAAAAUGCAGGGGGAUAAAAAAUGUAGGGAUUGGGGAUUCUAUGUAAUGGUUCAUAGUCAUUUCCCAGAGUUCUUUUGCUGGUUGUAGCUGGUUCAAUUCAUUGCUGCUCUAUUGGAACUGAUUUGGUUCAUCUCAUUGCUGGAGAUGGCCAUGUCCAUCAGAAUUGAUCAUCAUGUAGUAUUGUUGAAGUAUAUAAUGAUCUUCUGGUCCUGCUCAUUUCACUCAGCAUCAGUUCAUGUAAGUCUCUGCAGGCCUUUCUGAAAUCAUCCUGCUGGUCAUUUCUUACUGAACAAUAAUAUUCCAUAAUAUUCAUAUAUCACAAUUUAUUCAGCCAUUCUCCAAUUGAUGGGCAUCCAUUCAGUUUCCAGUUUCUGUCCACUAUAAAGAGACAUGCCACAAACAUUCUUGCACAUACAGGUCCCUUUCCCUUCUUUAAGAUUUCACAAAGGAUUAAUUCUUAACUUUUGUAUUGCCAAAAUAACAUAGACACUUAAGACUUAAUAAGUAAUGACUAGCAUUCUCAUUUUGACCCCAUAAUACUUCUACUAAUUCAGAAAUGCCAAACAGGUAGGUCUAAUAAAUAAUAGAGUAUUCAAUUUUUUUUCAGGGGAAAUAUAGAAAAUUUGUAUCAUCUUAGGGAGUAAUAAUGAACAACUUCAUUUUUAAAAAUUGCUUUCAUUUACAUAUCCAUUUUCGCUUAUAAAUAACAUAUUAUAUAUUAUUUAUUAUCAAUCACUUUUUAAAAUUUUGAAUUCUAAAUUUUCUCUCUCCCUCCAAACUCCCUUCCUUCCUCAAAAAAGGAAGCAAUUUGAUAUCAAUUAUAUAUGUGAAAUUGUGCAAAGCAUAUUUCCAUAUUUGCCAAGUUACAAAAAACAAAAAAAGAAAGUUUUAAAAGUAUGCUUCAAUCUGCAUUCAGAGUUCAUCAGUUCUCUCCCUGAAGGAGAAUAUUUUCAUCAUGAUUCCUUUGGAAUUGUCUUGGAUUAUUGUCUUAAUAAGAUUAUAAAGUAUUACACAGUUAAUCAAUCUUACAAUAGUGCUGUUACUAUGUACUCUGUUCUAAUGAUUCUACUCAUAUCAUUUCACACAAAUUCAUAUGUCUUCCCAGGCUUUUUCUGAAAUCAUCCUGCUUGUCAUUUCUUAUUGCACACAACUAUACCACAACUUGGUCAAGUUUUCCUCAAUUAAUAGAUAUUGCCUCAAUUUCCAGUUCUUUGCCAAAACACACACACACACACACACACACACACACAGUAUUUAAAAAAAAAAAAAAAAAAAAAAAACUAGGUCCUUUUUCCUUUUUUUAAAAAUCUGUCUGGAAUACAGACCAAGUACUGAUAUGGAUGGUUCAAAGGGUAUGGACAAUUUUAUAGCCAUUGAGCAGAGUUCCAAAUUGUUGUCUAGAAUGGUCAGAUUAGUUCAUAGCUCCGCCAACACUUCAUUAAUGUUCCAACUUUUCCACAGCAUUUGUCAUUGUCCUUUUUUGUCAUGUUAGCCACUCUGAUAGAUAUGAGAUCAGAGAGCUUUAAUUUGCAUUUUUCUAAUCAAUAGUUAUUUAGAACAUUUUUCAUGUGACUAUUGAUAGAUUUGAUUUAUUCUUCUGAAAAAUGACUCUCAUAUUCUUUGACCAUUUAUCAACUGGAGAAUGUCUUUUGUUUCUAUAAAUUUGGCUUCAUUCUCUAUGUUUUUGAGAAAUGAGAAACUUGCUCUUAUCAGAGAAACUUACUGUAAUUUUUUCCUGAGUUACCUAUUUUCUUUCUAAGUUUGGUUACGUUAAUGUGUGCAAAAGUUUUUUUUUUUUAAUUUCAUGUAAUAAAUAUUUUGCUUUCCAUGAGCUGUUUCUGUCUGGUCAUAAACUCUUAUAUAAUCCAUAGGUCAUUAUUCCUUGAUUUCCCCUAUUUUCUGCUUCCCUUCUAAUCUUGUCUGUAUUGGUUUUGUUUCUACAAAACCUUUUUAAUUUAAUAUAAUCAAAAUUAUUCACCUUGCAUUUCAUAAUAUACUCUACAAAUUCCUUCUUUCUCCACAGUUUUUCUGAUUUGCUUAUAAUAUCACUCUCUAUGUCUAAAUCAUGAAUCCCCAUUUGUUGGGAAAAAGAAAAAUAAUCAUUUGUACCAAAAUAUCUAUUGAAGGAUUUUUAUGUCAAAAAUUCAUAGGUAGUUUAUGUGCUUAGCAAUUUGGGAAAAGCUGAAUGAUUAUGAUAAAGAAAUGUAAUGCAAUGUUAUUGUAGCAUAAAAAGGACAAAUUUUUUUUUUAAUUUAAAAAUCAAUGACUUUCCUGAUAUAUAGGACUCCGAACUGGAAAAAAAGUUUAAUGAAAUAUUAAUAAAGGAAUUACAACAAAUUAUCAGCAGGAUAAUACACUAUGAUUAAUUGGGAUUUAUACUAAGAAUGUAAGCUUGAUUCAAUAUAAGAAAAAUUAUUGGCAUAAUUGACUAUAUCAAUAUCAAAACUAACAGAAAUCAUAUUAUAAUCUCAACAGAUGCAGGAAGAGCUUUUGAUAAAAAACAGCACCCAUUCCUAAAAACACUAAAGAGCAAAAAAAGAAGAAAAAAGGCUUCUAUGUUUUCUAGUGUAUUUAAUAGAAAUUGAGAGUUAUAUUUUUAAAGGCCUUUUCUGCAUCUAUUAAUGUGAUUAUAUGCUUUUUUGCUGUUUUGGUUAUUGAUAUAAUCAAUGGAUCAAAAUUAUCAUUUUCCUAAUAUUAAAUCACACACUGCAUUUCUGGUAUAAAUUACAUCUGAUUUCUGUAAUAUAUUCCUGUAUAUCUCCUUAUUAGUAUUUUAUUUUAAUUUUUUGUACCAGCAUUCAUCAAGGAAGUUGGUACAUAGAUUUUUUCCUCUUUUGUUGUUCUCCCUUUUUUAGGUAUCAAAAUCAUAUUUUUGUCAUAAGAGGAAUUUGAUAGAAAUUCCUUAUCUACCCAUUUUUCUUUCCAAAUAGUUAAUGUAGUAUUGAGAAUAAUUUUACUUGUUAUUUAGUAGUUUAUUUUAGUAGUUUUCUCUUGUAAAUACAUUUGGUCCUGAAGAUUUUUUCUUAGGGAACUAAUUUAUGAUUUAUUAAAAUUUGCCCUCAAAUAUACUAAGUAUUCUAUUACCCUUUCUGUUAAUCUGUUAAUCUAGGCAGUUUUUGUUUUUAUAAAUAUUCAUCCAUUUCACUUAAAUUGUUACUUUUACUGAAUAUAGUUGGAAAAAAAAAGUCCUAAUGAUUGCUUCAUUUCAUUUUUAUUGUUAAGACAUUCUUUUCAUGUUUAAUACUAGUAAUUUAAUUUUCUUCUUUUUAAAAAUCAAAUUAAUGAAGCAUUUAUCUAUUUUUGUGCUGUUGUUUUUGUUUAUAAAACCAGUUCCUAGUUUUAUUUAUUAGUGCAAUUUUUUUUUUUGUUGUUGCUUUGCUUUCAAUUGCAUUAAUCUCACCUUUGAUUUGCAGGAUUUCCAUUUUGGUGUUUAUUGGGAGAUUUUAAUUUGUUCUUUUUCUAGUUUUUUUCUUAAUUCCAUUCCCACAAACAUUUUUACAGUCAAAGGUUCUAAUAAAGGACUCAUCUACAAAAUAUAUAGAGAAUUGACUAAUUUAUAAGAAAUCAAGCCAUUCUCCAAUUGAUAAAUGAUCAAAGGAUAUGAACAGACAAUUCUCAGAUGAAGAAAUUGAAACUAUUUCUAGCCAUAUGAAAAGAUGCCCCAAGUCCUUAUUAAUCAGAGAAUGCAAAUUAAGACAACUCUAAGAUACCACUACACACCUGUCAGAUUGUCUAGAAUAACAGGGAAAGAUAAUGUGGAAUGUUGGAGGGGAUGUGGGAAAACUGGGACACUGAUACUUGUUAGUAGAAUUGUGAAUACAACCAGCCAUUCUGGAGAACAAUUUGGAACUAUGCUCAAAAAACUAACCCUUUGAUACAGCAGUGUGACUACUAAGCUUAUAUCCCAAAGAGAUUUUUAAGAAGGGAAAGGGACCUGUAUGUGCAAGAAUGUUGGUGGCAGCCCUCUUUGUAGUGGCCAGAAACCAGAAACUGAGUGGAUGCCCAUCGAUUGGAGAAUGGCUGAAUAAAUUGUGGUAUAUGGAUAUUAUGGAAUAUUAUUCUUCUGUAAGAAAUGACCAGCAGGAUGAUUUCAGAAAGGCUUGGAGAGACUUACAUGAACUGAUGCUGAGUGAAAUGAGCAGGACCAGGAGAUCAUUAUAUAUUUCAACAACAAUACUAUAUGAUAAUUAAUUCUGAUGGACAUGGCCCUCUUCAACAAUGAGAUGAACCAAAUCAGUUCCAAUAGAGCAGUAAUGAACUGAACCAGCUACACCCAGGGAAAGAACUCUGGGAGAUGACUAUGAACCAAUACAUAGAAUCCCAAUCCCUCUAUUUUUGUCCACCUGCAUUUUUGAUUUCCUUCAGAGGCUAACUGUACAUUAUUUCAAAGUCCCAAGUCCCACCCUUUUUAUAAAGCAAAAUAACUGUUUGGACAUGUAUACAUAUAUUGUAUUUAACUUAUACGUUAACAUAUUUAACAUGUAUUGGCCAACCUGUCAUUUGGGGGAAGGGGUGGGGGGAAGGAGGGAAAAAGUUGCAACAAAAGGAUUUGCAACUGUCAAUGCUGAAAAAUUACCCGUGCAUAUAUCUUGUAAAUAAAAAAGCUAUAAUAAUAAAAAAAGAAAAAUAAAUAAAUUCCAUUCCCAUUUCAUUGAUCUGCUCUUUCAUUUUUUAUUGAUGUAAGCAUUUAGAAAUAUACAUUUCCCCAUACAUACUGCUGCAUUCCAUAAAUUUUGGUAUACUGUCUCAUUGUUUUCAUUCCCUUUAAUGGAAUAAUCGUUGUUUCUACUUUUCUUCUUUGACCAACUCAUUCUUUAAAAUUAAAUGAUUUAGUUUCCAAUUAAUUUUUAAUCUGUGAUUCCAUGGCCCUUUCUUGUAUGUAAUUUUUAUUGCAUUAUUAUAUGCAUUAUGGUAUGAAAUGGAUGCAAUUAAUAUUGGUUUUCUUCAUUUGAUCAUCAUAUUUUUUAUGAUCUAAUAAAUGGUCAAUUUUUGUGAAGGUAUCAUGCACAGCUAAGAAAAAGGCAUGUUCCUUGACCAAUACUUAACACCCUAUAUAUACUAAGAUAA